rnacentral:rRNA from 1 species
UACGUAGGGGGCAAGCGUUGUCCGGAAUCAUUGGGCGUAAAGAGCGUGUAGGCGGUCCGGUAAGUCGGUUGUGAAAGUCCAGGGCUCAACCCUGGGAUGCCGAUCGAUACUGUCGGACUAGAGUUCGGAAGAGGCGAGUGGAAUUCCCCGUGUAGCGGUGAAAUGCGCAGAUAUCGGGAGGAACACCAAUGGCGAAGGCAGCUCGCUGGGACGUUACUGACGCUGAGACGCGAAAGCGUGGGGAGCAAACAGG